UUCACGCCUCGCCGCCCUCGCACCGGCCGCCGCCGCCGCGCCGGCCUGUUAGAGAGGAGAGGAGAGGAAUAGAUAAGGUUGAGGAGAGAAGUUAAAAGGAGAGGAGAUAAGGUUGAGGAGAGGAGGAGAGACGAGUUAAAGGAGAGGAGGAGAUACCUCGAUCCGAUCGCGCACGCCUCACCGAUCUCAGCGUCGAUAUUUUUUCCCGGUUGGGACUAUAAAUAGAUCUUUAGUCCGGGAGUAAAGCGUAUGACGAUCUUUUUUCCCGGUUGGUGUUAUCAACCGGGACUACAAAUAGAUCGUUAGUCCCGGUUGGUAACACCAACCGGUACUAAAGAUUAAAAAGUACCCUGGAGCUUUUAAACCGGGACUAAAGAUGUUUUUAGUCCCAAUUUUUUAUACAACUGGGACUAUUGUGAAAUCUGGUCGACCGACCAAAGAUGGUUUCUCCACCAGUGAAUGUCUUGUAGAUUAUUUUUCCCUUCUCAUUUAUGUUUCUUUAAUUCAAUAUAUUGUGGGACCCACCUAAUGCCAUCCAUAGUAGGGGCAAACUGUAACUUCGUUUCAAGAAAGCAGGGGUAAAUUCGCAAACCCUAAAAAAUAAGGGCAAAAUCACAGUUGCAGUUAAAAGUUGGGGUAUAAACACAAUUAUCCCCGAUGGCUUUGCGGAGGACGGAAAAAAAAUUAGGUGUGGUGGUGUGGCCCAUGGGCUAUCGCGAGAAUUAGGCCAUAGCAAGAAGAAAGGGAAAAAAAACAAUCUCAAUGCACGAUAUUAUAUGAACAAUAUCCUAUCAUGAUGCAAUCUAAAACAUGCCAACAAGCACUAGUCAUAAGCUCACAAUUCAUCAUCCAUUUACCAAAAGUUUAAAUAGAAGAGGCACUCAGAAAUACCUCAAGAUUUUAGCUGUCAACAAUACAUCACAUGAAAGAACUAGUGUGGAUAGAUAGACAUGUAGUGAUGUAGAAACUGCAAAACAAAUGGAAAAGAUUGAUUAGUAUACUAUAUAAUUGAGAAUUGAGAUUAAUAAGAUAAAGAGUAAUUGAGAUUGACUCUGCCUGCUCCCUGCUGCCCCUGCCUGCGGGCAGCUCUACCUGAUUGCUAGCUAGCCGCCUGCCUCCCGCGGCCGCCACGCAGCUGCCUGCCUGGCCGGCUGGCCGCCGCCUGCCUCCCCACGCCGGCACAUCGCCGCGCCGCUGCCUGGCCGCCGCGGCGCCGCCUGCCUCCCCGCGCGGCCUCACCCUGCCGGCUUCCACGCCCCUCCUCGAGCAGUGCCCCCACCGACCACCGCAGCGCCGCCGCUAGCCCCCGUCGGCCGUCGCUUGCCCUCAGUCAGAUUGAGGAUUUGGGGGGAUUGGGAAAUUUUGGAGUUAGGGUU
rnacentral:lncRNA from 1 species